GCUUAGAGUUUGAUCCUGGCUCAGGACGAACGCUGGCGGCGUGCCUAAUGCAUGCAAGUCGAACGCAGCAGGCGUGCCUGGCUGCGUGGCGAACGGCUGAGGAACACGUGGGUGACCUGCCCCGGAGUGGGGGAUACCCCGUCGAAAGACGGGACAAUCCCGCAUACGCUCUUUGGAGGAAAGCCAUCCGGCGCUCUGGGAGGGGCCUGCGGCCCAUCAGGUAGUUGGUGUGGUAACGGCGCACCAAGCCAAUGACGGGUACCCGGUCUGAGAGGACGACCGGGCAGACUGGGACUGCGACACGGCCCAGACUCCUACGGGAGGCAGCAGCAAGGAAUUUUCCCCAAUGGGCGCAAGCCUGAGGGAGCAACGCCGCGUGGAGGACGACGGCCUUCGGGUUGUAAACUCCUUUCGGGUGGGACGAGCCUGACGGUACCACCAGAAGCAGCCCCGGCUAACUCUGUGCCAGCAGCCGCGGUAAGACAGAGGGGGCAAGCGUUGUCCGGAGUUACUGGGCGUAAAGGGCGCGUAGGCGGUGGGCUGCGUCGGCGCUGAAAGCGCCCCGCUUAACGGGGCGAGGCGCGCCGAUACGAGCCCACUCGAGGCAAGCAGAGGGUGGCGGAAUUCCGGGUGGGGCGGUGAAAUGCGUAGAGAUCCGGAGGAACGCCGGUGGGGAAGCCGGCCACCUGGGCUUGACCUGACGCUGCGGCGCGACAGCGUGGGGAGCAAACCGGAUUAGAUACCCGGGUAGUCCACGCCGUAAACGAUGCCGGCUCGGCGUCCGGCGCACGUUAGUGUGCUGGGUGCCUUAGCUCACGCGGUAAGCCGCCGCC
rnacentral:rRNA from 1 species